UACGGGGGGGGGCAAGCGUUGUUCGGAAUUACUGGGCGUAAAGGGCGCGUAGGCGGCCAUCUAAGUCAGACGUGAAAUCCCUCGGCUCAACCGAGGAACUGCGUCUGAUACUGGAAGGCUUGAAUCCGGGAGAGGGAUGUGGAAUUCCAGGUGUAGCGGUGAAAUGCGCAGAUAUCAGGAAGAACACCCGUGGCGAAGGCGGCUCUCUGGGACGGUACUGACGCUGAGACGCGAAAGCGUGGGGAGCGAACAGG
rnacentral:rRNA from 1 species